rnacentral:miRNA from 2 species
UAAUACUGUCUGGUAAUGCCAU